rnacentral:rRNA from 1 species
AGCAGCCGCGGUAAUUCCAGCUCCAAUAGCGUAUAUUAAAGUUGUUGCAGUUAAAAAGCUCGUAGUUGAAUUUCGGGAUUGACACAUCGGUCGUGCCUUAAGGGGUAUGAACUGGUGUAGUCAAUUUCUCACCUUCUGGAGAACCGCGAUGUCCUUAAUUGGGUGCCGCGGGGAACCAGGACCUUUACUUUGAAAAAUUAGAGUGUUUAAAGCAGGCAUUUUGCUUGAAUACAUUAGCAUGGAAUAAUAAAAUAGGACGGAUGAUUCUAUUUUGUUGGUUUCUAGGACCACCGUAAUGAUUAAUAGGGAUAGUUGGGGGCAUUAGUAUUCAAUUGUCAGAGGUGAAAUUCUUGGAUUUAUUGAAGACUAACUACUGCGAAAGCAUUUGCCAAGGAUGUUUUCAUUAAUCAAGAACGAAAGUUAGGGGAUCGAAGACGAUCAGAUACCGUCGUAGUCUUAACCAUAAACUAUGCCGACUAGGAAUCAGACGAUGUUAAUUUUUUAAUGACUCGUUUUGGCA